GGGGAUUUAGCUCAGUGGCAUAAGUGCAUGCCUUGCAAGCAUGCAGUAGUGACUUUGAUCCCCA
rnacentral:tRNA from 1 species